rnacentral:rRNA from 1 species
UACGUAGGGUCCGAGCGUUGUCCGGAAUUAUUGGGCGUAAAGGGCUCGUAGGCGGUUUGUCGCGUCGGGAGUGAAAACACGGGGCUUAACCCCGUGCCUGCUUCCGAUACGGGCAGACUAGAGGUAUGCAGGGGAGAACGGAAUUCCCGGUGUAGUGGUGAAAUGCGUAGAGAUCAGCAGGAACACCCGUGGCAAAGGCGGCCCCCUGGGCCGAACCUGACGCUGAGGCGCGAAGGCUAGGGGAGCGAACGGG